rnacentral:rRNA from 1 species
CUACGGGGUGCUGCAGUGGGGAAUAUUGGACAAUGGGGGAAACCCUGAUCCAGCAAUGCCGCGUGUGUGAAGAAGGCCUGCGGGUUGUAAAGCACUUUCGGUUGGGAGGACUGCUUCUAGCACUAAUAUUGUUGGAAGUUGACGUUACCUUCAGAAGAAGCACCGGCUAACUCCGUGCCAGCAGCCGCGGGUAAUACGGAGGGUGCAAGCGUUAAUCGGAAUUACUGGGCGUAAAGCGCGCGUAGGCGGCUAGAUCAGUCGGGUGUGAAAGCCCCGGGCUUAACCGGGGAACUGCAUCCGAUACUGUCUAGCUUGAGUACAGGAGAGGAGAGUGGAAUUCCACAUGUAGCGGUGAAAUGCGUAGAUAUGUGGAGGAACACCAAUGGCGAAGGCAGCUCUCUGGCCUGAUACUGACGCUGAGGUGCGAAAGCGUGGGGAGCAAACAGGAUUAGAUACCCUUGUAGUC